rnacentral:ribozyme from 13 species
AAAAAGAAAAAGAGAAAGAGAAAGAGAAAGAGAAAGAAAAAGAAGAAACAAAUACACUCCCUUCUUUUCCUCAUCCGACAAUCUCUUCUCUUCCUCCUCCUCCCUCUGCUUCUUUCU